rnacentral:tRNA from 1 species
ACCUGACUGGUGCAGUUGGUAGAACUUGCGACUCUUGAUCUUAGGGUUGUGAGUUCAAGCCCCGCGUUGGGUA